GGAGGAUGUAGUUCAAUAGGCAGAACAACUGUAUGUGGUACAGUAAGUUCCCUGUUCAAGUCAGGGCGUCCUCC
rnacentral:tRNA from 1 species